rnacentral:rRNA from 1 species
CACGUAGGGCGCAAGCGUUGUCCGGAAUUACUGGGCGUAAAGAGCCUCGUGAGCGGUCUGUCGCGUCUGCUGUGAAAACUCGGGGACUUAACCCCGGGGCCUCGCAGUGGUGACGGGCAGACUAGAGUGCGGUAGGGGAGACUGGAAUUCCUGUGUAGCGGUGAAAUGCGCAGAUAUCAGGAGGAACACCGGUGGCGAAGGCGGGUCUCUGGGCCGUAACUGACGCUGAGGAGCGAAAGCGUGGGGAGCGAACAGG